UGCGCAGCGUGCGGCCGGCGCCGGCGGAGAGCGCGCCGCCGCCGCCGCACUCGGCCGCGUCGUCGUCCGACGAGAGCGAGCCGCUGUCGCCGCCCGCCUCGCCCGACCACCUGCACCUGCCGCACACCCGAAUUUUCCCGCCGAAGCCGCGCUCCGUCGUCCAACGCCGCCACACGAUCAGCUGCGGCAGCCCGCUGUCCAAACGACCGAACCUUCCGAUCGACCAGUUCUGGCGUCAACUGCGGGAGCACAAGUGGGAACGAGGCGACCCGUCGGAUCGCGACGACUCGACCCUCUAUCGAAGAGAUAAGGCGGUGUCGUACAGCGCGGGGCUGGAGCGUUCGCCGCGUGCCGCCCUGCUGCGCGCGCCCGCCCUCCCCGCGCC